UUUAUUGCCGGAGAUAUAUCAGGAGGAGAGAGAUUGAAAUCGAGGUUAUUCAUAAACCCUAUAACAAAGGAGAGAGAAGCUUCAUUUCUUAGUGGCUGGCUUCCUUAUUUUCUUCCCCUCAUUCAGACGGUCCAUUUGGUUUGUUGGAUUAAAGUCAUCAAUGGCCUAGAGUUGGCUUGUUGGAUUUAUUAUAAAAAAGCCCAUUUCAAUUAAAAAGAAACCUCAUCCUUAAUUCUUUUUUAAUAAUUUAUAAUGCUAAUAAAUUUUGGGUAUAUAUUUUGGGCAGUGACGGCCCUGCUGCCCGUUUUCUUCCGCCUUUUCACAUCUCACUUCCUUCCCAAAUUUUAAAUACUCAAAUCAUGCUUCAGUCCAUCCAUUCCUUCUUUCUUUUUUGUUUUCAUUAUUCUCUCUUCCUCCCUUCUCGUACUUCGCGGAUUCUCUUUUGGUCUCUUCCUCUGCUUCGUGGGAGUGUCAUUACAGGUACAUUUACUUUAACAGUGUAUUUGCCUUUUCAUGUAUUUUUUUUAAUUUCAGAUCUAUGCCUCUCUUCUUCUUCUUUUUUUUUCUGUUGGUUUUUUGGUUUUCAUCUUUAGAAUAAGUAUGUCUCUACCUUUUCAUCUCUAUUUUAAUUUUCAGAUCUAUGCGUCUUUCCUUGUUUUCCAGUCUGCUUUUGUUUGAGUUUUUGGUUCUCAGCGUUAUGAACAACUGUUUUGGUUCAUCCUUUCAAAUCUAUUGAUGUUGGUAAGUUGUUCUUUAGUCAGUUUAUCGACUACUAUGUGGUUUUUUGCUUAUCAUUUGUUUUUUUGCCUUUUCGUUUCUGUUUUGGGGUGGUUUGUUUAGAUGGGAUGGUUUCGUGGUUUUUGGAUCGGGAUCGUGUUCUUUUUGGUCUAGUCCUAUUGGAUUUUUUCAUAGUUUAUUCUCUUCUCAUUUUCCUUUUUCUAACAUUUCUUUCCCUUUACUCUCUCCUUUAUUCCGGCCGUCCCAUUUCAAAUUUUUCCUCGUAUGUUUUUGACCUUUUUUGUAACCGACGCCCAAAGGAAUGCAAAGACACUGUACCGUUUCUGUUUUUGGGAUUUUUGGAAUCCCUUGCUUCAUAAGGUAUGAAUCUUUGCUUCCACAUUGUCUUUUCCGUUCUCUGUUUUUAAUUUAAGAACUAUGCUUUUGUACUUGUAUUUCUUGGUUUAUUUUUUGGUUUAGAAAUCGCUGUUUCUAUUCGUUUUAUUUUUUUCUUAGUAAAAUAUUUUGAAUCUGGUUCAGAUUUUUUAAGUUUACUGGUGUUAAUUUUCGUUCUUAUUCCGCUAAAGGGAUAUACCCAUCAUAACUCAACUCCGGAUAACCUAUUCUGAGGAUAUCUCUGAAUCGUGAUAGCCCGGUUUGGAAUUAUUAGUGCCUGGUUCCGUUUUUUAAAUUUAAGUUUUUGCUUCUAUGUUUUUUUGUCACUGUUUACUCUUAUUUUUAAUGGGUUUUAUUUUCGUAUCUAGGUCUUGUUAUUUUUGUUAGUUUAUUGCCUCGCAUAUGUUCAUUAUUAGUUGAUUGGUUGUUUGCCGGUGUUUAAGAUUGUUGGUUUUGUUUUAGGGAUCAUUUUUUUGAAGUUUCUACUUCGCUGAAUACUUUUGGUGGCUUUGGUUUUGGAUCUGGGGCUUGCGAGUAUUUGGGCAUUCACAUUUAUUUUUUACUGUUUCUAAAAUUUCUAUGAUUUUUAUAUAUUUGGCAGGCAACCGAUGAGAAAAUGAUAACACUGACAGAAUUUUUAAAACUCAUGCACCAAAUCUAAUUAACGGUAAAAAAAGUCAGUUAUCUAAAUGAGAAGCAAAAAUUCUGAAAUUGUACUGGGCGUGUGGCGUAAUGACCAGCUUAUUCCCAUAUUCUCUCCUAUUUUUCCUUUAUUUCUAACGUUCUUUUCUCCUUUAUUAGCCUACUCUUUUUCCCUUCUUUACAAAUAUUUUUCCUUCUCUCUUGUUUUUUCUUCUCUCAGCCUCCUUUCUGUGUUUUCUUCAAUCUAUGGCUCUCCCAUUCAUUCGCCGUCUCUCUCUCUCUAUAUGUACCCUUUCAAUUUUUUCCUCAAAUUUUUAGCUUUGGGUAACCAAAUUCCGUUUUUUGUUUUUUUGCUGUUUCUCUUUUCUUUUUUUAAUUUUUGAAACCCUACAUCAUCGAAGAUUGAUUUUAGGGAUUUCGGUUUUUUAACUAUUAGUUUUUUAACAAUGUUAGUAAGUUCAGGUUUUAUUAUCUAUUAAAUAUAUAUAAAGCUAAUGGACCGUCGAUUGUAUAAUUAGAUAAAAAAUCCACUGCUUAGAGCGAACGGGCCUACUCGACGUACAUAAAACAGAUCAAUGUAGUUCGAUGCUCUGCCUUCCAAAGAUGAAAAUGUACAGUUGGUAGCACUGGAAUAUUCCCGCCCCUAAAAAUUACGAAACCGAUUACCCUACCCCUCUAAAUAAAAGUGAAGCUGAUUCAAUAAUUUUUUCUUGCAAAAAGCUACGACUCUUGACUAUCAAAAUGAAAAUAGUUCACAGAUUAAUUCUUUUUUACAUAAAUAAAAACAACAAAGUGGGAAUUCAAAGUAGGGUGGGCACUAUUAUUAUUACUUUUUGUUAAUGGAUAUGUUCAAAAAUAUCGUUAAGGUACAAUCAUUUCUUAAAUAUUACUAUCAUGAUGUGCUUACCUAAAUAAAAUUGGGCCUAUUUUCCAGGCUUUUGUUUU